rnacentral:rRNA from 1 species
UACGUAGGGUGCGAGCGUUGUCCGGAAUUAUUGGGCGUAAAGAGCUCGUAGGCGGCUUGUUGCGUCGGAUGUGAAAGCCCGGGGCUUAACUUCGGGUCUGCAUUCGAUACGGGCAGGCUAGAGUUCGGUAGGGGAGAUCGGAAUUCCUGGUGUAGCGGUGAAAUGCGCAGAUAUCAGGAGGAACACCGGUGGCGAAGGCGGAUCUCUGGGCCGAUACUGACGCUGAGGGGCGAAAGCGUGGGGAGCGAACAGG